GUGUCAGCCGCCGCGGUAAUACGAACUGCGCAAACGUUAUUCGGAAUCACUGGGCUUAAAGGGUGCGUAGGCGGCUAUGAAGGUCAGAUGUGAAAUCCCACGGCUCAACCGUGGAACUGCGUUUGAAACCACAUGGCUUGAGGAAGACAGAGGUGAGCGGAACUGAUGGUGGAGCGGUGAAAUGCGUUGAUAUCAUCAGGAACACCGGUGGCGAAAGCGGCUCACUGGGUCUUUUCUGACGCUGAGGCACGAAAGCUAGGGGAGCGAACGGGAUUAGAUACCCCGGUAGUCCUAGCUGUAAACGAUGAGCACUAGUCUGAGGGGACUCCCACAUCCUCUCGGACGUAGCGAAAGUGUCAAGUGCUCCGCCUGGGGAGUAUGGUCGCAAGGCUGAAACUUAAAUGAAUUGGCGGGG
rnacentral:rRNA from 1 species